AUACUGCUUUCAUGUUGGAACACAGAAAGUCGGAAACGGUCCGCCGCCGGAGGACGUGACUGCGGCCGAUUAGGUAGAUGGUGGGGUAACGGCCCACCAUGCCGAUAAUCGGUACGGGUUGUGAGAGCAAGAACCCGGAGACGGUAUCUGAGACAAGAUACCGGGCCCUACGGGGCGCAGCAGGCGCGAAACCUUUACACUGCACGCCAGUGCGAUAAGGGGACCCCGAGUGCGAGGGCAUACAGUCCUCGCUUUUCGUGACCGUAAGGUGGUCACAGAAUAAGAGCUGGGCAAGACCGGUGCCAGCCGCCGCGGUAAUACCGGCAGCUCGAGUGAUAGCCACUUUUAUUGGGCCUAAAGCGUCCGUAGCCGGCCGAACAGGUCCGUCGGGAAAUCCACUCGCUCAACGAGUGGACGUCCGGCGGAAACCAGUCGGCUUGGGGCCGGGAGACCAGAGAGGUACGUCCGGGGUAGGAGUGAAAUCCCGUAAUCCUGGACGGACCGCCGGUAGCGAAAGCGUCUCUGGAGAACGGACCCGACGGUGAGGGACGAAAGCUUGGGUCUCGAACCGGAUUAGAUACCCGGGUAGUCCAAGCCGUAAACGAUGCUCGCUAGGUGUGGCGUUGGCUACGAGCCAGCGCUGUGCCGUAGGGAAGCCGAGAAGCGAGCCGCCUGGGAAGUACGUCCGCAAGGAUGAAACUUAAAGGAAUUGGCGGGGGAGCACUACAACCGGAGGAGCCUGCGGUUUAAUUGGACUCAACGCCGGACAUCUCACCGGCACCGACAGUGUGCAGUGACAGUCAGUCUGAUGGGCUUACUUGAGCCACUGAGAGGAGGUGCAUGGCCGCCGUCAGCUCGUACCGUGAGGCGUCCUGUUUAAGUCAGGCAACGAGCGAGACCCGCGUCCCUAAUUGCCAGCAGCAGCCUUGUGCUGGCUGGGUACAUUAGGGAGACUGCCGUCGCUAAGACGGAGGAAGGAACGGGCAACGGUAGGUCAGUAUGCCCCGAAUGUGCCGGGCGACACGCGGGCUACAAUGGCCGAGACAGUGGGACGCUACCCCGAGAGGGGACGCUAAUCUCCUAACCUCGGUCGUAGUUCGGAUUGCGGGUUGAAACCCACCCGCAUGAAGCUGGAUUCGGUAGUAAU
rnacentral:rRNA from 1 species